rnacentral:tRNA from 1 species
AGGUUUAAACUUUAAACAUGAUAUUUAAUAUCCUAUAUUA